rnacentral:misc_RNA from 1 species
GAUGAAGAACGCAGCGAAAUGCGAUAAGUAGUGUGAAUUGCAGAAUUCAGUGAAUCAUCGAAUCUUUGAACGCACAUUGCGCCCCUUGGUAUUCCUUGGGGCAUGCCUGUUCGAGCGUCAUUUGUACCUUCAAGCUCUGCUUGGUGUUGGGUGUUUGUCUCGCCUCUGCGUGUAGACUCGCCUCAAAACAAUUGGCAGCCGGCGUAUUGAUUUCGGAGCGCAGUACAUCUCGCGCUUUGCACUCAUAACGACGACGUCCAAAAGUACAUUUUUACACUCUUGACCUCGGAUCAGGUAGGGAUACCCGCUGAACUUAAGCAUAUCAAUAAGCGGAGGA